ensembl:antisense Gm2245 predicted gene 2245
NNNNNCUCGCCAAUGCUGGUGUAGAUACGAGGAAGCUGGCUGGCCACCGGCCGGAAGAGGAUUCGCAGUGUGAUAUUGACGUUCUGCAAGUCUUUGCUACCAGUGAUGACCGAGAACUUUGGUGUCAUCUGUGCUUUGUAUAACUUCGAGUGACUCCCCAGGUUUUAUCUGCAGAUCUCUCGCUCCCCACUUUUUAGAGGUUAAGGAGGACGCAACUUUAGUUGAAUAUAGAACUCGAAUUUCACCGUCGUACUGAAAAAGGAAUGGACCCCUCCCUUGGGAACACGUCUUUCUAUAUUUCACCUAUGAGAAAUUUCCAAACGAUGACUGGCCUAAGCCAAAUAUUGCCAAAUGGAAUUAGGAGCCCACAGGUGAGAGAUUUCAAACUUUAAGAAGAGCCUGCCUUUCUCGCUGUCAACUGCCUACCAAAGUACCAUGGGCGUUUUCCACAGGCCGUUUAGCACCCAGCCAUGCAUGAUUUGGACAGCCCUGGCGAGACCCUGCUGAUGAAAUCGGAAGAUGAUCCUUUACUUACUUCAGGCGGAAGACAGUAGCUCAGUGUCUUUCUUCUGAUGUCAAAUGUUGUUUUAGGGCCAAGGAGAUAGCUCAGUAUGAUUUAGUGUUUGCUGUGCAAGCACAGGAUCUGAGUUCAAAUCCCCAGUGACUACUUAAAAAGGGCAUGAAGGCAAUGUUACACAGCAUGUUCAGUUCACCCAGGGAGGUCAAGGAGAGGUGACAAGAUGGAUUAUUGGGUGAAGAAGCUUGCUGCCAGUGACAUCAAAAGUGCCCUGUAUCUUCAGUGAUGAGACUAUGCCAUUCUGUCUGUAAUGUUUAUAGCACUCUCUCUCCAUGCUUGGUUAUUCAUCCACAGGUAUGGUCUAUUCAUCCAACUAGAAGUUAUUUGUAAUAGAGACAAAACCCCAUGUAUGUAAUUCCUUUUGUAUUUUUGAGUAUAAACACAUAGUCGGGAGUCACUAAAUGUUGAAUAGGUCUAUGAAUGAGUAAAUGGUUUUCUGGGGGAAAGAAAGAGGAAAGUCAACCUCUGCUAGAGACAUCCACUCUUACUUUGAACCAUAGAGUUUUGCUAUACUAAAUUAUAUUAGGCAAAUUAUUGGAUCUAGAUCUAUAAUUUUCCUACCCUGGCAUAAAUAAGAAGCAUGCUUAGUAGACGGGCUCUAACAGUCUAGUAGAGGGAUUCUGCUUUCAAGUGGUCUUGGAUAAGCUCAGAGAUCUUGCUUAGAACACCAGAGAGUUCGUGUGCAAGUGACCUAUGGGCACUUUGUGUCCUAGGAGUGAACUUUGUUAGUUUGGUUUUAUUUUUAAAUUACGUAUUUUCCUCAAUUACAUUUCCAAUGCUAUCCCAAAAGCCCCCCAUACCCUCCCCUCCCACCCAUUCCCACUUUUUGGCCCUGGCGUUCCCCUGUAUUGGGGCAUAUAAAGUUUGCGUGUCCAAUGGGCCUCUCUUUCCAGUGAUGGCCGCNNNNNNNNNNNNNNNNNNNNNNGGAUACUUUCUCUAGCUCCUCCAUUGGGAGCCCUGUGAUCCAUCCAAUAGCUGACUGUGAGCAUCCACUUCUGUGUUUGCUAGACCCCGAGGAGUGAACUUUGUUGUCUCCUCUUGUGGACUGGAGAUCAUUCAGUCAGGUAACAGUAACAUUGCUAGUCAGAUAGAACUAUAAAUUAUGACAUAAAGACAAGUUUUAAGUAGGUUUUUCAAAAUAACUAAAAAACAAACAAACAAACAAAACAAAACAAAACAAAAAAGCUGGAAAUAACAUUCACCCAUUUUAUUUUACUGUACUGAGGAUAGCAGAUCUUAAAUUCUGAUUGGCAGCAUCAGCAUCAACUGAGAACCUAUGAGGACCAAAGCUCAGGCCUAUUGCAGACCCACUGAGUCAGACACGCAGAGUCUGAUCCCGCAGCUGCCUUCUGCAGGUUUUCACGAGUAAGAUGCACACUGAGAUCUGAGCAGCGGUUCUGUAGUCCAGCGUGAGGAUGUUCGGAUUCAAGCCUCUGGGGCUGGAGCAACUCCAUGAAGCGCUUGCCCUGCAAAAGUGACAACUGGCUGCCUGAACCCCACCACUGCCCGCUCUCCCUUCUUAGACAAUACCUAUUUUGACUCUUUAGUUUUCUUUCCAAUUUUUAUAAUUUAAUUUUACUUUUAGAAUUUCAUAUAUAAAUACUGUAUUUAAACUAUUUUUCAUCCCUCUCCAGCUUCUCCAAUAGCCUCCCCAUUUUAUGCAUUGUCAUUAUUAUCAGGUAUGCAUGAUGUGUGCACGGGAGGGUAGAGAAAACUUUCAGGACACAGUUUUCUCCUUCUAUCAUGAGAUCCGGGUACUAAACCCAAGUUCUCAGGCUUCUGUGGCAAGCCCUUUCCUCAUGGGUCUGUCUUACUAGUCCACACUUUUUGCUCUUAACCAUACAGUAUCAACUGUUUUCUGAUAUUUUUGGUUAGGAUUUCAUUCUCUGAGAGUUCCUCUAUCACUCCUUGCCCAUACUGCAAGGGGCAGGACAUUUAUGAACGUCUGUAAUUGAAGUAAGAGAAUGCAGAAAUUUUGAGGGACAGAAGCUCUUUUAGAAGGCUACAGGAUCAUCCUGUUAGAAACUGGAUGAAUGGGUUGCUGACAUGGGGGUGGCGGAGCUGAAGGGGAUGGUGAAGUCAGAUAACUAGGAGAGGUAUAUUCAAAGACUCGGGACCAGAAGGUAGCAUGUACCCUCUGAUGUAGACAUCAGUAUGAUAUGGCAGAAUAAAUGCUCUACCAUUUGUGUAACAGUUGACUAAAGACUGAAUCACAGCACCCUAGAGUUAAAAGGACUCAUCAAUUUGUUGUUCCAGUAGUUUUCAAUGAUGUUUGUUGUAAACAGUGCGAUUGUUUUUUUUUUUUCUAGAGUCACUUACUUCUGCACUGGACUUUGAAAUACAGCGGAAGAAAAUAAUUUAGGGUUCAGGAUGAUAUAACACAGGCUAACCCUUAAAAGCAUCCUCCAUUCUUUCCAAAGAUAAGAGGUCCAAAGUCUGGCUAAGAGUAAUGGUUCACUCAGACACAAAGCUUAAAACCACAAGAUCUGGGAUAAGAACCUGUUUUUCUUAUUUAAGGUUGAAGAGGUUUCUUUGUUUGUUUGUUUAGCAUGCCAUGAAGCCAAAUAUGCUUUUUUCAAAAAUGCAGUUUGUCUCAAAGCCUCUGUAGGUAAACAUCUCCCUUUAGUGAGCCUUACAGCAUCUCAAUGAUGAAAGAAGCUAUGAGAUCAAGC